rfam:TPA: Bos taurus chromosome 3, whole genome shotgun sequence.
UCCCUGAUAGCUCAGUUAAACAAUCUGCCUGCAAUGCAGAAGACCCAGGUUCAAUCCCUGGGUUGGGAA